GGAUCAGGGUCGGGGUCGGGGUCGGGGUGGGUUUGUGUUGCUGCUCCCGCACUCCCCUUUUCCCUCUCCGUGCUCGGGGUCACAUCCAGCCUCGGGAAUCUCUUGUUGGGGUCCCGCACAUCCCCCAAAUGCCUUUUCCCCCCUUAAAGCUGUUCCUAAAGCCCAGCCCGGGGCUCCCAACCUUCCCUGUCCCGACCAGGAGGGCCCAGGAGGGGCCGGGAGGGCUCGGGGCCGUUCUGGGCGAUCCUCGCAGGGCUGCAGGAGCUGCAGGAUGCAGCAGGUCCUUGCAGGGUUGCAGGAGCUGCAGGAGCCGCAGGAUGCAGCAGAUCCUCGAGGGUUGCAGGAGCUGCAGGAUGCAGCAGGUCCUUGCAGGGUUGCAGGAGCUGCAGGAUGCAGCAGCUCCUCCCGUGCCGGGGGAAGGAGAAUUGAGCUCUGGGCUGGUCCCACCGCUGCUCCCGUUUGCUGUGGGGGCCUGGCUGGCAGAACCGGGAUGAGCAAAGGCUGGAAAAUCCAGGAGAGCGUUUGGAUCGAGGGCAGCGGCCCCUCACUGUGCCCUGGGGGCACCGCUGGGUUUUGUCCGGUGCGGUUUUCCUGCCUCGCUGCCCCUCCCGGCAAUGCUCGGGGCCCCCUCGGGAUGGGGGUGCGGGAGCAGCUUUGUCCCCGUCCCUCCAUGGCCUGAAUUUCCCCAUUCCCACAUUCCCCAUCGCCAGUGCCUUGAAAAUUCUGCAAAUCCCCAAAAAGAAAGCUGGGAAAGCUCCAAAGGUGGUCAGGGACGAGCGGGAGCGAGCCGAAUCCGGGUUGGGCUGUACCUGGGGCUGCACUCACAGGGCUGGAGCUUCCCGUGCCCAUUCCACGCGUGUUUUACCCCAAAAGCAGUUUUUGUGACCAGUUUUGGGGCAAAACCUCCCUGAUUCUGUCCCGUGGUGAUUCCUCCCGCUUUUCCGGGGGUGGCAGCCCCCGGCCCCGCUCGGCAGCGCCGGGCACCUGCACUUUGCUCUGCCAGCCCCGGGAAUCCCGGGGGACAGAGCCUUCCUCCUGUCCCCUCCUGUCCCCUCCUGUCCCCUUCUGUCCCCUCCUGUCCCUCUCCUGUCCCCUCCUGUCCCCUCCCUGCCGGGACCUGCAGCCCGGGGUCAUCGGGGGCUCCUCGCAGCUCUGCGGGGUCAGAAGGGCCCCGUUAGGGCCGGGAUGGGGGGACAGAGAGCGGGAUCGGCCGCGGGAAUUUGGGAUUUAUGGAUUUGAUCGGAAUUAUUGAACAGGAACAUUGAAUGGCUGCAAACCAGGCCCUGGGAACCCUCCCUCCUCUUCCUCCCUUUUCAGCCUUCAAACCCCUCCGGAUCGGGCGGCGUGGGAAGGGUUGGUGCCUGUUCCCCCCCACCCCCACUGGUGUUUUUUCCGGAAUUCUCGGCUCAGGUGGGAAUUGUGUCAUUUUGGGGCUCCUGGACCCGUUCCUGCUCCGUUCACCCCAGUCCCGCUCCCGCGGGGCCCCGAACGAGCCCGGGAGGUGCCGAAGGGACACGGGAGGAGGGUCCUGGGCUGCCCCCCACCCCCCCGCUGCUUUGUGCCACGAGCUUUGACGAUCAAUAAUGGAAGAAGCCAAAAAAGGACCCCCCGAGUACCUGUGUAGUAUCUUAUCAGUCCAUAUCGACGCGUAUACGCACCCAUAUAUCGUAGAUCGGCCGCCGCGGGUCUGAGCGACCCCCGCAGCCCCCGAGGGACCCCCGCCCCGCCCGGGCUCCUGUGAGCGGGUCCUCACAGCCCCGCGGGGGCCGGGGCCGCGCGGGGACCCGGGGGACACGUCCCAGCGUCCCCAGCCCUCGGCCGUGUCAUACCAAACAUGUAACGUGCCUUUUAUUUAUGCUGCAAAUAUAACAUUAAAAUAUUACCCAGGA